AUUGAACGCUGGCGGCAGGCCUAACACAUGCAAGUCGAACGGCAGCACAGAAGAGCCUGCUCUUUGGGUGGCGAGUGGCGGGCGGGUGAGUAAUGUCUGGGAAACUGCCCGAUGGAGGGGGAUAACUACUGGAAACGGUAGCUAAUACCGCAUAACGUCGCAAGACCAAAGUGGGGGACCUUCGGGCCUAACACCAUCGGAUGUGCCCGGAUGGGAUUAGCUAGUAGGUGGGGUAAUGGCUCACCUAGGCGACGAUCCCUAGCUGGUCUGAGAGGAUGACCAGCCACACUGGAACUGAGACACGGUCCAGACUCCUACGGGAGGCAGCAGUGGGGAAUAUUGCACAAUGGGCGCAAGCCUGAUGCAGCCAUGCCGCGUGUAUGAAGAAGGCCUUCGGGUUGUAAAGUACUUUCAGCGGGGAGGAAGGCGGUGAGGUUAAUAACCUUGCCGAUUGACGUUACCCGCAGAAGAAGCACCGGCUAACUCCGUGCCAGCCGCCGCAGUAA
rnacentral:rRNA from 1 species